UACGUCUCUCAUUCUCACAAAUAUUGCUCUCAAUCUCUCAAUACGCCUCUCAUUCUCACAAAUGUUGCUCUCAAUCUCAACAAGAAGCUCACGACAGCUUAAUCAAGUGUUUUCCGUGACUCAAUAGCUCUUGGGUUUUCCAUGACUCAACAAGAAGCUCACGAUAGCUCUUGGGUCUUCCGUAACUCAACAGCUUAAUCAAGUGUCAAGACAACUUGGGUUUUCUUCUUCUUGGAUUUCUCAUUUUCUUGGCAGGAGGAUUGUGAGGAUUUGCGUGGAAGAAUUUCUCGAUAUAGUUUGCAGUUUGCAGGUUUGUCUCCUUUUCCAUGCUAGUUGACCAGCAUGCCAAGGUCUUGCAUCAAUAUGUAAAAACAAGAAAUGCUUGCCUUUAUUGUCAUUGAACUAUUGGUGAGUUGUUAUGGAAUAGCAAGAUUGCUAUUAUCCAGUGUAUUCCCACAAAGUGGGGCCCAAACACCACGAUUAUGAAAAGAACUGCUGGAUUAGCAAGGUAAAGUAACUCCUAAGUCUUCUCCCUUGUAACAGAUAUACAAAUGCUCCUUUAAGAGACCUUUUAUUUUCUUAUAUAGAAGAUAGUAGGUCUUAAUGAUUGGAAAGAACCAUUUUCUUCAGAUACAUAAGCAGGGAUGAAUUGGGACAAAGAUGGAAGCAAAUAUCCACAUAUAGUUUCUACAAAAAUAGGAAAAAACAAAAAGAAAGGGAUCUCUUACUUUGUAUGCCAGAACAUACUGAUUUACUUAGUUGCUGGAUCAAAAGAGGGGGAAGAAAGAUCCAUUUUCUCUUUGUAACUGUCUAGUAUACUAUAAAAAUAGAACAGAUAGUUAAAUCUUUUAGGUUGUUUGUUUGUUUUUGCUCUCUGUCUCUUUUUGGAGGUCUCCAGCAUUAGGGAGGAAUAUGACAUAACCAUUUUUAAUUUUUUUUAAAAAAGGAUUUUUUAUUGCACUCAGCUGGGGGAAAGAACAGGAUAAAAUUAUCGUUGGAUAAUAGAAUUUUCAUGUAUUAGGGAAUUUGUAUCUGCAAGUAACAAUCUAGACAUUGAAAACAUCUUAGGCCACCAAAAGAUGGUAGCUUUGAAAGGAAAAUGGAGGAAACCAUUGUCUGUUUGAUUUAAUUAAACACUUGGUUUCUGCAUUAUUGUUCUUCUCCUCUUCAUUUAUUUCCUUGUUCUUACUGUUAUUGUUCUCUAUUAUUAUUCCUAUGUGAUGUUGUGCAGUAGUUGUGCUACUGCUGUUCAACAUGCUUAUUGUAGGUAUUAAUCCUCUUUCUUCAUUCAUCUGGUGCAUUUUUUUACUUAUAUUAUCCUUUUCACGCCCAUAACCCUUGUUGGUUUCUUUUUGUUUUAUGAUAAUUUGUUUUGUACCUUUUUGUUAUAUGCCAUAACUUCAGCACGAGUAUGAUUUACAUUCAGUUCCUUUUGUCCAAAAACCACCGUGAUGCUUGUAGCGCCAUCAUUGUUAAUUGGGAUGAAUAUAUUCUUGAUAGGUUCUUUGGGUGAAGUAGCAUUUUAUCGGUUCAUUAUAUGCAGUGUUGUAAUGCUGAUUUACUAUGUAUUUUUUAUUAUCAAGCGACCUUUAUGUAAAUAGUUUGGAAAGAAAUAAUGCUUAUUCUAUACAAUACUCUACUAUGGUCCAGCAUAAGAUGGGAAUAUAUGCGAAUGAGUACCUGUUCUAAUAAUGAAGCUCUGUGCAGUUAUUUGCUCUUUCCUGAUUCACUGUACAUAUCUAUAUUAUGUCAAAACACUUUAUGAUGCAGAAAAGCACCUGAUGGUAGAAACGACAAUCUAACGUCUUGGUGGCUAGUAAAGAAAAUCAAUGGCAUCAAAAGGUAAUGUUAAUGGACGACGUAAGAAAAGUAAUAAAGGACAUGACAAUCUUUCUACAGGUUAAUAUACACUACCAUCACCGCCUGUUACCACAACUCUUCAACCAGCUACUACAAAUAUUUCUCCCCCUCUUAGAUCAACUAUUUCACUACCAAAUGAAUUUUUCAUGCCUCCACCGUCUGACCAGUUCCAUACCUCUUCAUCCAAAAAUAGUCUUCAUAGUAGCUCUUUAUCCGUGCCUUCAACAUCAUCCGCACCAAGCCUUUCUGGAUUAAGAGUUGGAGGUCCUAACACACCUACAUCGCCAUCCAUUGAUAGUGCUACAACACCUAAUGCUACAGCAGCUGCUUCUCAGAAUUUGCAAUUUAAAGAGGUAUUAGAAUAUGACAAGGUUAGGAGGCUACAAAUCGUCCCUUAUUGUGAUGGGUUCAUUCCAGCAUAUACGGCCGGGCAUAUGGUUAUAGAAGCAAUUAAAUUAUUUUUUAAAAAGCAGUGGAAUAGUUGGUUUGAGAUUCCAUGGGAAAUUAGAAUUGACAUGUGGAAACAGUUUAUGGUAUAAGUAGUUUUAUAAGCUAUGAAUCUCAUUGCCUAAAGAUAGUUUUUCCAUUUUAUCCAUCAACUCAUUUUAUGACUUUAUAUUAAGCUAUUUUGUAGACAAUGUGUUCAUGGAGUAAUUGUCAUGUUAAUGAAAUAGACCGCAUUUUUUGGUUGAAAGCAGCUCUACAGAUCAAAGAACACUUGUAUGAGGCCCGGAGAAAAUUGGUAAAACCUAGUUGAUUGAAUGAUAAAGUGUGGACUUAGUUCUUGAUAUUAUGGGACACUCUUGAAUAUAAGGCACAGAGGGAACGAGGAAAGACAAACCGAGCCUCUGAAAUAGGUGGCUCGCUGCAAACCGAAGGUUCGAUGAGUUUCGCUACCCACCAAUGAAGACUAGUACUAUUCUUGUCCAACCCUUUUAUCCAUUUACAUGUGAUACUUUGAGUAAAUAAUUUAUUAUUAUUGUCGAAUUUGUGUCUUCUGUAGCUGCAAUUAAGCUAACGGGAAGCCUGGAUUUAGUUUAUUAAUACCCUACCUAUUAAGCGUUUAACUAUAAAGUCUGAACUCUGAUAAUGCAUAGUGCUUAUUAGUCGA